rnacentral:rRNA from 1 species
AACAGGAUUAGAUACCCUGGUAGUCCACGCCGUAAACGAUGUCGACUUGGAGGUUGUUCCCUUGAGGAGUGGCUUCCGGAGCUAACGCGUUAAGUCGACCGCCUGGGGAGUACGGCCGCAAGGUUAAAACUCAAAUGAAUUGACGGGGGCCCGCACAAGCGGUGGAGCAUGUGGUUUAAUUCGAUGCAACGCGAAGAACCUUACCUACUCUUGACAUCCACGGAAUUUAGCAGAGAUGCUUUAGUGCCUUCGGGAACCGUGAGACAGGUGCUGCAUGGCUGUCGUCAGCUCGUGUUGUGAAAUGUUGGGUUAAGUCCCGCAACGAGCGCAACCCUUAUCCUUUGUUGCCAGCGGUUCGGCCGGGAACUCAAAGGAGACUGCCAGUGAUAAACUGGAGGAAGGUGGGGAUGACGUCAAGUCAUCAUGGCCCUUACGAGUAGGGCUACACACGUGCUACAAUGGCGCAUACAAAGAGAAGCGACCUCGCGAGAGCAAGCGGACCUCAUAAAGUGCGUCGUAGUCCGGAUUGGAGUCUGCAACUCGACUCCAUGAAGUCGGAAUCGCUAGUAAUCGUAGAUCAGAAUGCUACGGUGAAUACGUUCCCGGGCCUUGUACACACCGCCCGUCACACCAUGGGAGUGGGUUGCAAAAGAAGUAGGUAGCUUAACCUUCGGGAGGGCGCUUACCACUUUGUGAUUCAUGACUGGGGUGAAGUCGUAACAAGGUAACC